CCUACGGGAGGCAGCAGUGGGGAAUAUUGCACAAUGGGCGAAAGCCUGAUGCAGCGACGCCGCGUGAGGGAUGACGGCCUUCGGGUUGUAAACCUCUUUCAGCAGGGAAGAAGCGCAAGUGACGGUACCUGCAGAAGAAGCACCGGCUAACUACGUGCCAGCAGCCGCGGUAAUACGUAGGGUGCGAGCGUUGUCCGGAAUUAUUGGGCGUAAAGAGCUCGUAGGCGGCUUGUCACGUCGGGUGUGAAAGCCCGGGGCUUAACCCCGGGUCUGCAUUCGAUACGGGCAGGCUUGAGUGUGGUAGGGGAGAUCGGAAUUCCUGGUGUAGCGGUGAAAUGCGCAGAUAUCAGGAGGAACACCGGUGGCGAAGGCGGAUCUCUGGGCCAUUACUGACGCUGAGGAGCGAAAGCGUGGGGAGCGAACAGGAUUAGAUACCCUGGUAGUCCACGCCGUAAACGUUGGGAACUAGGUGUUGGCGACAUCCACGUCGUCGGUGCCGCNGCUACGACACUUAACGUUCCCGUCCGUCGGGUAGGUACGGCCGGCGACGGACGUAAACCGUACGAAAGGAAGUAGACGGCGUGAGACGUCGCCGACGGACGACGACGAGGGAGGUAGG
rnacentral:rRNA from 1 species